UACGUAGGGUGCAAGCGUUUGUCCGGAAUUAUUGGGCGUAAAGAGCUCGUAGGCGGUCUGUCGCGUCGAAUGUGAAAACCCGGGGCUCAACCCCGGGCCUGCAUUCGAUACGGGCAGACUAGAGUUCGGUAGGGGAGUCUGGAAUUCCUGGUGUAGCGGUGAAAUGCGCAGAUAUCAGGAGGAACACCGGUGGCGAAGGCGGGACUCUGGGCCGAUACUGACGCUGAGGAGCGAAAGCGUGGGGAGCGAACAGG
rnacentral:rRNA from 1 species